rnacentral:rRNA from 1 species
UACUAGUUGUUGGUGGAGUAAAAUCCAUGAGUAACGCAGCUAACGCGUGAAGUAGACCGCCUGGGGAGUACGGUCGCAAGAUUAAAACUCAAAUGAAUUGACGGGGGCCCGCACAAGCGGUGGAUUAUGUGGAUUAAUUCGAUGCAACGCGAAAAACCUUACCUGGCCUUGACAUGUACCGAAUUUGGGAGAGAUUCCUUAGUGCUCGAAAGAGAACGGUAACACAGGUGCUGCAUGGCUGUCGUCAGCUCGUGUCGUGAGAUGUUGGGUUAAGUCCCGCAACGAGCGCAACCCUUGCCAUUAAUUGCCAUCAUUUAGUUGGGCACUUUAAUGGGACUGCCGGUGACAAACCGGAGGAAGGUGGGGAUGACGUCAAGUCCUCAUGGCCCUUAUGGCCAGGGCUUCACACGUAAUACAAUGGUCGGUACAGAGGGUUGCCAACCCGCGAGGGGGAGCCAAUCCCAGAAAGCCGAUCGUAGUCCGGAUUGUAGUCUGCAACUCGACUACAUGAAGUCGGAAUCGCUAGUAAUCGCGGAUCAGCAUGUCGCGGUGAAUACGUUCCCGGGCCUUGUACACACCGCCCGUCACACCAUGGGAGUGGGUUUUACCAGAAGUAGGCAGUCUAACCGUAAGGAGGACGCUUACCACGGUAGUAUUCA